UACGUAGGGUGCAAGCGUUGUCCGGAAUUAUUGGGCGUAAAGAGCUCGUAGGCGGUUUGUUGCGUCGGCUGUGAAAUCCCGAGGCUCAACCUCGGGUCUGCAGUCGAUACGAGCAAACUAGAGUGUUGCAGGGGAGGCUGGAAUUCCUGGUGUAGGCGGUGAAAUGCGCAGAUAUCAGGAGGAACACCGGUGGCGAAGGCGGGUCUCUGGGCAACAACUGACGCUGAGGCACGAAAGCGUGGGGAGCAAACAGGAUUAGAU
rnacentral:rRNA from 1 species